rnacentral:rRNA from 1 species
GACGAACGCUGGCGGCGUGCCUAAUACAUGCAAGUCGAGCGGACUUUCAAGAAGCUUGCUUUUUGAAAGUUAGCGGCGGACGGGUGAGUAACACGUGGGCAACCUGCCUGCAAGACGGGGAUAACUCCGGGAAACCGGGGCUAAUACCGGAUAAUAUCUUCCUUCGCAUGAAGGAAGGUUGAAAGGCGGCGCAAGCUGCCGCUUGCAGAUGGGCCCGCGGCGCAUUAGCUAGUUGGUGAGGUAACGGCUCACCAAGGCGACGAUGCGUAGCCGACCUGAGAGGGUGAUCGGCCACACUGGGACUGAGACACGGCCCAGACUCCUACGGGAGGCAGCAGUAGGGAAUCUUCCGCAAUAGACGAAAGUCUGACGGAACAACGCCGCGUGAGCGAAGAAGGUCUUCGGAUCGUAAAGCUCUGUUGUCAGGGAAGAACAAGUACCGUUCGAACAGGGCGGUACCUUGACGGUACCUGACCAGAAAGCCACGGCUAACUACGUG